GAGGCCGUAACUCAGCGGAAGAGUGCUACCUUCACACGGUAGAAGUCGUUGGUUCAAACCCAAUCGGCCUCA
rnacentral:tRNA from 1 species